CCCUUAGACGUUCUGGGCCGCACGCGCGCUGCACUGACGAAGGCAACGAGCUUUCCUUUACCGAAAGGUACGGGUAAUCUUUUGAAACUUCGUCGUGCUGGGGAUAGAUCCUUGCAAUUAUUGAUCUUAAACGAGGAAUUCCUAGUAAGCGCAAGUCAUCAACUUGCGUUGAUUACGUCCCUGCCCUUUGUACACACCGCCCGUCGCUACUACCGAUUGAAUGGUUUAGUGAGGCCUUCGGAUCCGCGACUCGUUUUGUGGAGAAGUUGGACAAACUCAGUCAUUUAGAGGAAGUAAAAGUCGUAACA
rnacentral:rRNA from 1 species